rnacentral:rRNA from 1 species
GUCUACGGCCAUACCACCCUGAACGCGCCUGAUCUCGUCUGAUCUCGGAAGCUAAGAAGGGUCGGGCCUCGUUAGUAUUUGGAUGGUAGAAAACCAAAAAGACCAUACCAAAAAAUGGCUAGAAACC